UACGAAGGGGGCUAGCGUUGCUCGGAAUCACUGGGCGUAAAGCGCACGUAGGCGGAUUGCUAAGUCAGGGGUGAAAUCCUGGAGCUCAACUCCAGAACUGCCUUUGAUACUGGCGAUCUUGAGUCCGGGAGAGGUGAGUGGAACUGCGAGUGUAGAGGUGAAAUUCGUAGAUAUUCGCAAGAACACCAGUGGCGAAGGCGGCUCACUGGCCCGGUACUGACGCUGAGGAGCGAAAGCGUGGGGAGCAAACAGG
rnacentral:rRNA from 1 species